GCGGCUACUGCUAUCAGGUUUCGACUAAGCCAUGCGAGUCAAGGGGUCGUAAGACACCGGCGUACUGCUCAGUAACACGCGGACAAUCUACCCCCAGGUGGAGGAUAACCUCGGGAAACUGAGGCUAAUACCCCAUAGUUGUCAUGUGCUGGAAUGCUUUGACGAUGAAAGAAUUUCGCCUGAGGAUGAGUCUGCGGCCUAUCAGGUAGUAUGUGGUGUAAAGGACCACAUAGCCUAAGACGGGUACGGGCCUUGAAAGAGGGAGCCCGGAGAUGGACUCUGAGACACUAGUCCAGGCCCUACGGGGCGCAGCAGGCGCGAAAACUGUGCAAUGCGCGCAAGCGCGACACGGGAAGCCUGAGUGCCUUAACUAUGUUAAGGCUGUUCUUGAUCCUAAAAAGCUCAAGGAAUAAGAGCUGGGUAAGACGGGUGCCAGCCGCCGCGGUAACACCCGCGGCUCGAGUGGUAGUCACUUUUAUUGAGCCUAAAGCGUUUGUAGCCGGAUUUGUAAAUCUCUAGGAAAAUACUUCUGCUUAACUGAAGAAAUUUUGGAGAGACUGCAAAUCUAGGGACCGGGUGAGGUUGAAUGUACUUCUGGGGUAGGGGUAAAAUCCUGUAAUCCUGGAAGGACGACCGGUGGCGAAGGCGUUCAACUGGAACGGAUCCGACGGUGAGGAACGAAGGCUAGGGGAGCAAACCGGAUUAGAUACCCGGGUAGUCCUAGCUGUAAACACUGCCCACUUGGUGUUGCAUCUCCGGUAAGGGGGUGCAGUGCCGUAGCGAAGGUGUUAAGUGGGCCGCUUGGGGAGUAUGGUCGCAAGGCUGAAACUUAA
rnacentral:rRNA from 1 species